CCUUCCUUGGACACACCCUCCUACCUUGAUGUUCUGCCUCACCUCAGGCCCACAGCAAUGAGGUCAGCCAACCAUGGACUGGAACCUCUGAAACAUCAGAAAACAGAUCUACCAUCUAUUAUUCAGUAAUGAUGAAUGAGGACUAACACCAAGAAUGGUCCAGUUGGAAACUUCUCCAGAGUGGCCAAAGGUACUGCCUAAAAUGUUCCAGUGUUUUGAAAAGGAUUCCUAAUUAGUUGAGGGACCUCCAGGAUGAGUAUUAUUAUUAAAUAACACAAAUUAAACUUCUAUGAUUUCCAAGCUGCUACUUUUUAAUGAAACAUUCCAUGCAUGCCUUUUAGGCUCCUACAGCAUAUUAGCAAGAUCUAUUAACUCGGCAGAUCAAUGUAGCGAUAUUAACUAUCACAGGGAUAUUCAGAUGGCCAGCUUUGGUGCUUCUGCAUGA